rfam:Sulfuricurvum sp. MLSB contig_1978, whole genome shotgun sequence.
GGGAGUUUAGCUCAGUUGGUAGAGCGCUACCCUUACAAGGUAGAUGUCACAAGUUCGAGUCUUGUAAUUCCCA